ACCAGAAGAGCAAGACCUUUGAAAACUCUUCAGAUCAUCUUGUUUUAGGAAGGCAUAGGUUCAACCCAUCGGGGCAUCUUAGGAACAUAUACCACAAAAUUCAAGAGUAAUUAACACAUGCGUGAAGAGCAUGGCUGACAAGGGCAUAGGAUACAACUUAUCAGAAGGAGACGAAAAAAUCUACCAAUGGCAUUAUGUAUGAGGGGAACAAUGUCACAAGAAUUUUUGAAAGCAAAGGAUGCCGUCGGAUAAUAACCCAACAAUGGGUUUGACGGUCCACAAAGGACCUCAUGUGAGUGUCGGUACUCAAUCAGAGGGAGGUAAAAUGCAAGGCAUCGGAUUUUAGAACAUCUGAAAAAUAUCGAUACUUAAAUACCAAAGGAAUUAGUC
rnacentral:lncRNA from 1 species